rnacentral:ncRNA from 1 species
CACUCUGGAAAGCAGGCUGGACCAGCCUCUCCGAAGGAGCAACCGGCGCUCAGCCGGGAAAUCUCUCAGGGCAAGGACAGAGGGGG